rnacentral:lncRNA from 1 species
AGAUGCUGUAGCUCAGGCUACCGCUAGAAGACAAACGCCGUGGUCCUCCCACUUUGUCAAAAGCUCCGGAGUGCGGCUCAGGGAGCAGGAACUAUUUUUUAAAUUACAGAUGAAUGGGACUUUGCCGUACGCUGGACCCCGAGCCUGACUCUGCGUGGAAGUGGGUACGCAUAAGCGGAGAGAAGAACAGUGUUUCCUAUUAUUGAAAGACCCGAGGUGGAAAAGACGCAGCAAUGACAGAGCAGCAGUCGUGCGCAGCGGCAAAAUAGACCAACUACUGUGGGGACGGAAGAUUGAUAACACAACUGGGCGAGCAACGAGAGCGGCAGAUGUAAUUUCCAAACGCUGCAGCUGGUUUGGUGCCAGUGGUGUGAGCUGGAUGGGUUAUUGAUGCAUUCUGCUUUUCAUCAUUCACUGCUCGCAGCGCUUCCACAUUACUUGGGGAUCUCGGACGGCUGUCUGUGAGGGAGUAUUGCUGCAGAGACUAACGGGGAAUGCCAUGUGUCGUUGCGCGACAUAGAAGCUCUUUGUGGGCUGUUUUGCACCGGGGACAGGUGGUGCCGCGUGUGUGCAUGUGUGUGUGUGUGUUAAGACUAGCAGGGGGUACGGUCACACAACCCCUGAGACAGUUGUCUUAGGGAUGUCAGGCCGCCGUACGGGAUCAGUUUUUGCCAGAGACAGGUGCGACAGGGAGGAGUAGUUUACAAAGCCCCACACAGGAUCUUGUAACGCACUAACGAGCCUGCUCUCUCUGAUCACUGGCGGAUUUUUUUGUAUCCAGCGGGACAAACAAUUGACUCAUACAGUUGAUAUCUCAGCGGCAACUUUUCCCUCAAUAAUCAGAGACGCCACAGUUGUGUUGCUAUGGCAGCCAUGGCCCCUUCGUCCUUCUUCCUGCUUUGUUGGCUGCUCCGAACGGCAAGCCCGGCAUUCCCAGAGGAACCCGGGCCCAUCAACUUUAUCCCCACUGAAGGUAUUGACCCCCGAUCCCCCUUUCUCGCACUCCUUUCCGUGCCUCUCACCCAGUGACGUGAUG